UUCGUCACACUAUCAUUAACUGAAUCCAUAGGUUAAUGAGGCGAACCGGGGGAACUGAAACAUCUAAGUACCCCGAGGAAAAGAAAUCAACCGAGAUUCCCCCAGUAGCGGCGAGCGAACGGGGAGGAGCCCAGAGCCUGAAUCAGCAUGUGUGUUAGUGGAAGCGUCUGGAAAGGCGCGCGAUACAGGGUGACAGCCCCGUACACAAAAGCGCAUGUGCUGUGAGCUCGAUGAGUAGGGCGGGACACGUGGUAUCCUGUCUGAAUAUGGGGGGACCAUCCUCCAAGGCUAAAUACUCCUGACUGACCGAUAGUGAACCAGUACCGUGAGGGAAAGGCGAAAAGAACCCCGGCGAGGGGAGUGAAAAAGAACCUGAAACCGUGUACGUACAAGCAGUGGGAGCCCCACCACCAAAGCAUUUGCUGUACCGCGUUGACGGAGCGAAGCGACGUCAAACCGAUAAAACAGCAGUGUAAAGUGAGCCGCAGGGCGCUUUGCGCGACAGCGCAAAGGCAGGCGGUUUCGCGUAGCGAAAGCGAAUGCUUUGGGGUGGGGUGACUGCGUACCUUUUGUAUAAUGGGUCAGCGACUUAUAUUCUGUAGCAAGGUUAACCGAAUAGGGGAGCCGGAGGGAAACCGAGUCUUAAUUGGGCGUUAAGUUGCAGGGUAUAGACCCGAAACCCGGUGAUCUAGCCAUGGGCAGGUUGAAGGUUGGGUAACACUAACUGGAGGACCGAACCGACUAAUGUUGAAAAAUUAGCGGAUGACCUGUGGCUGGGGGUGAAAGGCCAAUCAAACCGGGAGAUAGCUGGUUCUCCCCGAAAGCUAUUUAGGUAGCGCCUCGUGAAUUCAUCUCCGGGGGUAGAGCACUGUUUCGGCUAGGGGGCCAUCCCGGCUUACCAACCCGAUGCAAACUGCGAAUACCGGAGAAUGUUAUCACGGGAGACACACGGCGGGUGCUAACGUCCGUCGUGAAGAGGGAAACAACCCAGACCGCCAGCUAAGGUCCCAAAGUCAUGGUUAAGUGGGAAACGAUGUGGGAAGGCCCAGACAGCCAGGAUGUUGGCUUAGAAGCAGCCAUCAUUUAAAGAAAGCGUAAUAGCUCACUGGUCGAGUCGGCCUGCGCGGAAGAUGUAACGGGGCUAAACCAUGCACCGAAGCUGCGGCAGCGACACUGUGUGUUG
rnacentral:rRNA from 1 species